UACACACACAUGCAUACAUGCACACAGAGAUAUUUUAGAAAAACUGCUUUUUUUAAUUUUAGCACUUAUCUUUGUUUUUGUGGCAUUGUAAAUAAUAAUAGUCUUAUAUUUUCAUAAGUAUUAGUUACUUCUGUCAUUGCUCCAACCAAAUACCUGACAAGAAGCAAAUUAAAGAAGUGGAGAUUUAGAAAAUAUUCAGAAAAAUGUAGUCCUACCUGGCAGAGAAAGCAUGGCAGCAGGAAAAUGCACAGUAUGGAUCAACAAUCAGGAAGCAGAAAAAGGUAUAUGCCCUUGAAUGCAGGUGCCUUCAGAGUCCAGAAGAGGGAAUCAGAUACCCUGGAAAUUGAGGUACACAGAUAUCACAGUGAGUGACCUGACAUGGGACCCAAACUGAUCCUCUGUAAGAGCAGUACACAGUCUUAACCACUGACCGAUUGCUCCAGAUUCAAUUUUCAGCACUCAAAUGUCCUGGCCAGCGGGAUAUUCAGCAGAGACCCUAGAAGAGGGAAUGGUGAAUGAAUGGACAAGAGACACAAAGAAUUGGCAGCAAGACAGUGUUAUGAUCAAGCUGCAAAAUUUUAUUUU